rnacentral:rRNA from 1 species
UUUCUUGAUUAGUGGCGCACGGGUGAGUAAUGCAUAGAUAAUGUGCCCCUUAGUUCGGGAUAGCCACUGGAAACGGUGAUUAAUACCGGAUACUCCUUCUUGUUAUAAGACAAGUCGGGAAAGUUUUUCGCUAAGGGAUCAGUCUAUGUUCCAUCAGCUUGUUGGUGAGGUAAUGGCUCACCAAGGCUAUGACGGAUAUCUGGUUUGAGAGGAUGAUCAGACACACUGGAACUGAGACACGGUCCAGACUCCUACGGGAGGCAGCAGUGAGGAAUAUUGCACAAUGGAGGAAACUCUGAUGCAGCAACGCCGCGUGGAGGAUGACGCAUUUCGGUGUGUAAACUCCUUUUAUUAGGGAAGAUAAUGACGGUACCUAAUGAAUAAGCACCGGCUAACUCCGUGCCAGCAGCCGCGGUAAUACGGAGGGUGCAAGCGUUACUCGGAAUCACUGGGCGUAAAGGGUGCGUAGGCUGGCUUUUAAGUCAGAUGUGAAAUCCAAUGGCUCAACCAUUGAACUGCAUUUGAAACUGAAAGCCUAGAGUUCAGAAGGGGCAGAUGGAAUUAGUGGUGUAGGGGUAAAAUCCGUAGAUAUCACUAGGAAUAUCAAAAGCGAAGGCGA